rnacentral:rRNA from 1 species
CCAAUAGCGUAUAUUAAAGUUGUUGCAGUUAAAAAGCUCGUAGUUGAAUUUUGGGUUUGGCCGAUUGGUCCGUUCUUGUAACGAGUACUGGUCGGUUGGGCCUCACCGCUUGGUGAUGCGUAAUGUCCUUUAUUGGGUGUUGCGAGUAGCCAAGACCUUUACCUUGAAAAAAUUAGAGUGUUUAAAGCAGGCAUAUGCCGGAAUACAUUAGCAUGGAAUAAUAGAAUAGGACAACGAUUCUAUUUUGUUGGUUUCUAGGACCGUUGUAAUGAUUAAUAGGGAUAGUUGGGGGCAUUAGUAUUCAAUUGUCAGAGGUGAAAUUCUUGGAUUUAUUGAAGACUAACUACUGCGAAAGCAUUUGCCAAGGAUGUGUUCAUUAAUCAAGAACGAAAGUUAGGGGAUCGAAGACGAUCAGAUACCGUCGUAGUCUUAACCAUAAACUAUGCCGACUAGGGAUCGGGCGAUGUUGUUUCAAUGACUCGCUCGGCACCUUAUG